rnacentral:lncRNA from 1 species
GGGAAGGGGAAAGGAAGAGGAAACUAAAAUUUUAGAAGGAAGAAGGCAAAAAAGAGAUAGAAAACCCAUCAGCAAGUGUAAAAUAUAACAUGAGAUUCUCAGUUACCACCACGAACUCUUAAAGACCAAAACACCACUUUCAACAGCAGCAACUCUAUCUAUAAGCAGGCAGAAAAGUCUCUCACAUCACAUUGCAACUUGAUGGGUUCUCAUCGCUGAAGUAGCUGUACCCCUCCGUGUGGGAGGGCGGUGGCGGGUAUGGGUAUGAGCCGGCAUAUGGGUUUGGGUUCGGGUUUGGGUACUGGUUUGGGUACGGC